CAGCCCCAUGCUGCUGUGAUCUAGUGUUCGAGAAAAAGGCUGAGGAAUUCAGGCAUUUUAGCCGACUUUGGAGCUCUAUUUCCAGUUAAAAUGAUUCCUCAGGCGCUGCUACAGAGCUCAUUAUGUUUCAACAGAUCAUUUUCCCCAGAAAGCUCCCAUAACUGCUUAUGACCCGAGUGACCCUACGGUGCUUAAUGAAGACUCAGACAUACAGCCGAGGUUCCUUGCCUUUCUAUAGCAGGCUCCUGAAGUCUUCAGUGUGUGCUACAACUGGCAAAACAGAUGGGGUAUCAGAUAAAAUUAAAACAGAAAAAAACAUCAUCCGAAACCUUGAGGGAAGGUGAGGCAAAAGGAAUUACUGUCUCAGCUCACAUGGAGACUUCAAAAGCAAAAAGUUGAGUAUUGCACUGCUGUCAUCUCCUGUGUACAAUCCUAGUUUCAAGUUAAUUAAAUUCAUAUUCAUCCUGUCCUGCUAUGAUUGUUAAACGGAUGUGCCAGAGAACUAUUUGUCACCUUAUGAAAGGAACAUGCUGGGAUGCAGCUGUAUUCACAGAGGCACUUUAUUAACCCAUAACCACAUUCUAGCCCUUGAUUAAGCUGUUAAGCCGCAAACAGUACUGGAUAGUGCCUGCAUAACCAAAAAUGACCCGGAUUUCCACUGUAUUUCCUCUUUUUUUUUGUUAGUUGCUACAUUGAAAGAUAUAAAGUUGUGUCUGGGAGAACUCAUCACUGAAUUUUUGCAAACAACAAACAGGUUUUUCUGCCUAUAACAUACAAAGAACAUUAAUAUAUUUUUACCAAAACAAUUCAGAAGUGUUUCAAUAACUUUCUAACCUUGUCUAAGAUAUCUGUCUGCAGAAAACAUGUUAAAUCACAGUGCAAAAUAUCACAGUAAAUUAACAAACACAGCUGUAAAAAUGGUCUGCCUAAAGAAGGUGUUUUAAAGAUUAAGCAUUAGGUAAGAAUUGUGAAAAAUAGGCCUCUAAUGGAUAAAUGGGUGGAGCUGAAUAAGGUCUGAAUUAUUUUUUUACUCUUUAAACCUGCCCCCAUUUCCAUCCAUGUACACAAAGCUCCGCCCCCAAAACUUAUGGUGGGUCAACUAGAGUUAGCAUGCUAACUGGAGUUACCAUUAGCAAGGACGGUCAUGACAUCACUUUCAACCACAUGCAGAUAUUCAACUUCUUGAAAGGCAAGUUUCAAUUCUAUAAACAUGCAACGUGUCCUCAUAAUGGUUUAUAAGGAUGUGAAGUUGUAUUGGGGGUGUGUCUAUAAAAUGACUGACAAGAGGCCAAUCCAAAUACAAACAUUUCCACAAAAUAUUUCCAACAUUAUUUCCACAAAAUAGCCUUAAUAAUCUUUAUACACACUUGGCAUUUUCUCAAACAGCCUUAAAGAAGCUCCCAAAUAUUAGUACCUUCCAAAAUGAACAUUUAAAAUGGAAAUUAAAUUCUUGAUGGUGGAGAUAAUUAUUAUUAAAAAUUAAUAAUUAUGGAUUAUAUUUAUAUUGAAAAGCCUUUUCACUAGUACUAAUUACAUACCGAAACUAUAAAAGCAAGCAACUAAUUGUUCAGAUAUAUUUUAGGAUUAAAUCAAUUUGACAACCACUAACAACAACAUCUAGUUUAGGAUAUUUUAUAAAAUAUUCCACUAGUGUGCAAUGAAGUUCUUUUACCCUAAUGUAUUAUAUUGGAAAAUAUCCUUCACAGCUUUUGUUGCUAGCAGUCUCUUACACUUAGCAGUUUUUAAUUAUUUACAAACUCCCAAUUUAUCACACCUGAUUUAGCUAAUUAAGCCUCUGGGAGCAUUUGAAUGUCAGAAUCAGGUGUUUAUAAUGAGGGCUGUAAUAAAACUUCUCAUUUCAAAUGCAAAAUACAAAAACAAAUGGCAGUUUUUCCUCAGACACAUUUCUCAUAUCUGAUUGAGGACUCCUGAAACAAACAAACAAAACAGGAAGACUGUUUUUCACAAAAGAAAGGGAAAAAAGAGAGGCUGGUUAAACACAAGAACAAGUUUUGCCACUUUCCUGUGCAUCAUAACUUCCUUUUGUGAGUUUGAUUGCCCUGCAAUGUUCUUUUUCCUAAUUGAUUUACCUUUGCUUGUUUUUUUGUUGUUCCUGUUGAUGAUGAUUUUGUCUGCUGAAUUGAAUUUGAGUAAAAGGCUCAGUCUUACAUCCUACUGCUUGACAUACAGGAAAAUGAAAUGAACUUUGGGGUAGUAACAGUAGCUCCACUUUCUUCUCCUUCUUCCAUGUUGCACCAUUCUCUGCAAUUCAUGAUGUCUACCUAACUACAGUUUGAUUCACUGGCUCCAGAAAAUGUUGUUUGGACACUAUUCUACCUCCAGAUCCAUGCUGAGAGAAAUGUAUCCAAUGAUGAAUAAAAGGAAGACGCUCUAUCAACUUUCGCUGGUGAGUAAGCCUGGAGUAGUGAAACCUGAUAUUGUCCCAAAUUGCCCUGUAAUGUAGCAAGUUGUAUAGUGUGUGUGUGUGUGUGUUAUAGUGGCCAAUAAUCCAAACACGGUGAAUCAGAGCAUUGCCUGAGAUUGCAGCACACAUAUUAUUAUGGUUCCCUCUUGUACACCCAGCACAUUCACUGUGGCUGAAUGACCUGUGAUGUUGCUCACUAGCUCACGUUGGCCAUCCUUUUUUUCCCCCAGCUUUAAGCAGCAGUUUAUUAAAAGAAGGUUUAUUAAAUUUAGUAAAUCAUGGCAGUCUCCCAGUUCACUUUGCAUGGUAAAUGAACAUUCCAAAUUAACUCUGUGAUCGUAAGAACUGGUAAUGUAGAAUGUUCCAGCUUUGAGAAUUCUACCUCCUACUUCAGUGUUCAUGUAAUCUCAACUGUUUAAGCAUAUUUAUUUGUAAUUUGUGGACUGCUAUAUCUAAACUUACCAUUGCAUUUAAAGAUGUUUAGAGCAUGGGGUAUAGGAAAUAGCAUUUAAUGUAAUGGCUCCUCCCUUCACAUGAUGGUUCACAUUUUGUCCUGUUAUUGAUUCGUUACCCUAUUGUGUUCACCUGUUAUGUGUUUUUAGAUCUGAUCAGUUUGUCUACUUGCACCCCAUCUUCUUGUGAAGUCUUACCAUACAUUUUUGUCAUAAGUUCAAGCCUUGGUUUCCAUGUUUCUAAGCAUUUUCUAGUUUCCCAUGAAUUAUGAUUCUUUGAUUGAUUUGCCCUAGUAAACCACACACUGGGCAGUAUUCAGAGUUUGUGACAAGUCCAAACACUGCACCAAUAUUUGUGUAAAUUUGCACUUAUUCAUGCUUUGACUAUGCACCUGGUUAAGUGAAAUUUCUGGGCUUUUUAUUCAUUUUAUGCAAAUUAUCUGCAGGUACAGUAGUUCAGGCCUCCAAGGUUGCCAGAUGUUUUUUUUUCUUGAUGGGGAAAACGAACAAACUGUAACGUGGGGUUUGGGUUUUGUUUGUGUUUCUUGUUCAUUGAUCUCAUGUCUUUUAUUCUGGUGUUUAGUCAUGGUUCCUGUCUAGGCAUGUGCUCCUUGCCCCUCCUGUGAUCUUGUCAUGUUACCCUUGUCUUUGUGUCACAUUUUGAUUGGUUCCUUGGUUAUAUGUGUCUUGUUCUGAUUGGUUGAUUUAAGUCAUGUGUCCUUGAUUGUUUGGUGUGUAUAUAUAGCCCUCAUGUAGCCAUUGUCUCUUGUCGUGUAUUGAUGUAGUAACCUGAUCAAGUCUGUCCAAGCCAAGUUAAGUAAAGUCUUUAUUUGUAUCUUGGUAUUCACUUUGUUAAAUAAAGCUGUACUUGGGUUCAUCACCA